rnacentral:rRNA from 1 species
AGUGAACGCUGGCGGUAGGCCUAACACAUGCAAGUCGAACGGCAGCACAGUAAGAGCUUGCUCUUACGGGUGGCGAGUGGCGGACGGGUGAGGAAUACAUCGGAAUCUACUUUUUCGUGGGGGAUAACGUAGGGAAACUUACGCUAAUACCGCAUACGACCUACGGGUGAAAGCAGGGGAUCUUCGGACCUUGCGCGAUUGAAUGAGCCGAUGUCGGAUUAGCUAGUUGGCGGGGUAAGGGCCCACCAAGGCGACGAUCCGUAGCUGGUCUGAGAGGAUGAUCAGCCACACUGGAACUGAGACACGGUCCAGACUCCUACGGGAGGCAGCAGUGGGGAAUAUUGGACAAUGGGCGCAAGCCUGAUCCAGCCAUACCGCGUGGGUGAAGAAGGCCUUCGGGUUGUAAAGCCCUUUUGUUGGGAAAGAAAAGCAGCGGGUUAAUACCCCGCUGUUCUGACGGUACCCAAAGAAUAAGCACCGGCUAACUUCGUG